UUCAACUCAUCAAUUGUUUCAAUGUUAUGACCACAAAAAAAUCCUGCUGGAUUGUUGGAGCUAAAUUAUUAAUAUCAGUAAUUCUUGCAUUACAUUGAUUUGUCUUCUGAGUGUCAUAAUCAGCCACUGCUGAGUUCAAAAGAUUUCAAAGAUUUCAUUAAUUCUAGUAUUUUUAAAUGUUGUCUAAAAUUCAUAUUGAAAAUGUAUUAUUCAUUUUCAUUUCAUUAUAUCAGCUGACCCAGGAAAGAGCAAUAUUAUCCAGCUUUGGUGGCCAUUCUGGUGUUUGAGUGAGUAGUCAAGGAAACAGUGCUCUUACACAAUAUUUUUCAGUGAAAAUUAUAAUCAGUCUCUUUUCAAAAUAUGCCUAUCAGAGGAAUGAAACAUCUUUAUGUCAUGCUAUCAUUCUGUAGUAGAAGAAGAGUGGCCACUGCCAGGGGGAUAAUAGCAAGGCAUUCUGGAUCUUUAACUCUGUCUUCCACCACAUCCUUUUGUGCUUUGAUCCCUUUGAUUAUUGGCAUUUCUGUCGUGGCUAAAAAAUGAACCUUACUGAAGAAGCUCAGUGUGUACCCAGAUCCAAGACUGAAGAGAAUGAAGACAGGGACAAGUGUUAAAUAUUCCCUGGUUGAACAUGAGAAGAUUGAAGAAAAUGCAAAGAGGAAAUUGCAAGAUGGCAAGAUGGCACAAAAUAGCAAUUGGGAGGAAGUUUAGCUCAUACUUUGGCUUUAGCAUGAAGAUUUCUUCAUGAAGUUUCUAGCUUCCUUUAAAUUAUCACCUGGACAGCCAUUCACCUUUUUUUUUUUUUUAAUAAGACUUUAUAAACACUGCAAUUCACUCCACUUCUUUUUGUCCUCCUGGAAGUCCCUCUUAUCUUCUUUCCUCCACUUCACUCUGUUUCCUCCCUCAAUUCCUGCCUCAGGAAGCAUGAAAAGCUUUGAGUAUCCUCUGUCCCUCCGUAUAAUUGACCUCCAUCCCCCAAGCUCCGUCAGCUGGAUAUGCUCCACUACACAUAAGUUUGACAGUUCCUUCUUUCCCGUGAAGGCUUCUGCAAUUCUAUAUGUUUUUUGAGCUAGUUCUGGAAGGCAAUCUAUAGAUUCACAUGUUUUCUUUCAAGUGAUUAUUUGCAGCAACUCCAUUAAAGAAAGCAUAGAGUAGCUACUCAGUGGUUUGUUUUUUUUCUUUUCACAGAAUAGCAGGGGAAAGCAACGUGGACUAUUCGUAAUGGACAUUACUGCUCAAGGCUAUGCAGGUAUAAAGAAAGUGCACACAGGUAAAAUUCCCUGGAUUAAUGGUGAGAUUGGAGGCUGGCCAAGGGAGCAGCAACUGCAUUCUGUGUGGCCAAGCUGAGGUGAAUCCAUGUUGGCAACAUGGUGAAGUAAGCACUGGGCUGUUUCAGAAGAGCUAAUUUCUCAAAGUCGAUGGAAAUUUUUCUCCACACUUAUAAGGGUGACAUAUUCAAGCAAUAAUAUGCACCACCAAAGCAGGCUGGCACCCUGUAUGGUGUUUAACUCCCAAAGUAGGAGAAGCUUUACAAAAAAAGAAAUCCUUUGACCAAAGAAACACUCUCAUCCUUUGUGUGCAGCUCUUCUGUUCAUCCUCAAGCAGUUUCUGGGUUUAAAGUAGUUCUUUCCUCUGUUCUAUCAUGGAUGAGAAGAACAAGACCAUGAUUCCCUUUGUGAACUCUCUGAGCUGUCUGCUCAGUAUCAAGAUGAAGAGCUCAUUUGCACAAUACAAGAAGGCUUUUCAAGCUCUAGUUAGAGACAAGUUCCCAGCAUGGAGGCAGUCAAAAUCAUGCUCUUGGGGAGAAUUUUAAGAUAGUCUUUGUCAGUUGAUUCACAGAUCCAGCUUUCAGCUAUGAGAACACAGAGAGCAGUGCAGUGCAGCCCAGAGUGGAUCUGUGCAGUCCCUAACUGCAAGGUACUUUUGCUGUGUGACCCAGCAGACCAUAAAGGGUUAAUACAGAUACUCCACUUCAAAAGCUGGGAUAGAAGGCAUUCAAGAAAGCAUUCAAGUAUCUCUAAUGGCCCACAUGUACCAUAAACCGGGGUGAGCUCAGUCUGUAUGGCAGCAAUCAUCCAAUGAAAAGAAGCCAAAGAACAGUUUAGGAUCUAUACCUGGAGACUCACAUAUUUGAUUUCAAAAGCCCAUUAACAGCAUCCUAGCUAUGUGUUCAGUAUGAGGGGUCUAAUAAAAGCUGGCUAAUUCAUAAAGACCAAAUGAACAACCAAAAAGUUGCAACAUAGUAAAAUUGUGUCAAUUUCUUUGAAGCUGA